rnacentral:rRNA from 1 species
AUGAACGCUGGCAGUGUGCCUUAGACAUGCAAGUCGAACGGGGAGCCUAGUUAGCUUGCUAACACGGCUUCUAGUGGCGAACGGGUGAGUAACACGUGAGUGACCUACCCCGAAGUGGGGCAUAACAGAGGGAAACUUCUGCUAAAUUCCCCAUGGUCUCAUAGCUCUGGUGUCUAUGAGUAAAGAUUUAUCGCUUCGGGAUGGGCUCGCGGCCCAUCAGCUAGUUGGUAGGGUAAUGGCCUACCAAGGCGACGACGGGUAGCCG